UUAAUUUUUUUUUUUUUAUAUAUGUGGUGAUGAAAUUAUCUCUUUAACUGUAGCAGCUGAAAUUGCGGCUAAUUUGGAUUUAGUUAUAGUUGCGCAAUUGGAUGUUUUCAUAUAGUUUCAGCUGUUCUGCAAACAGCUGGAUUCAAAUGUAUCAAACUAAAAAUCAAAUUUGAAUCUGCAUUUAUUUACAGCUGCAUAUAACCAAUCAGCCACUUUAUUGCUGAUCGAUGCAGUUGUACUACAAUUUUAAAUUUAUACAUAUCCAACUCCAAUGUUUGGUUAAUUUGGUGGGCUUGAAUUCAAAUGAUGCAAUUGGUUUGUUUAAGGAGGCUCAAACUAUAGCAAUUGGAGCGGGUCGCAGCAUUGGCUGUGAUAGUUACAGUGAGAAAAUUUAGAGACGAGCUACGUAAAAAGUAAAUACCUUUUUAUUUAAGCUGAGCCCAUCUAUGGUUCAUGAUUUGAAUAAAAAUAAAAUAAAAAAUUUAAUUGCAUUGAAAUGAAAAAUAAAAUUAUGAGUUAUUUAAAAAUAUUUUGCUCAUUAUUAUUGGAAUAACAAAUCGAAAUGGACAAAAGAGAGAGAGAGAGAGAGAGUAACCAAAGGAAAGGAGGAAGAAAUGUUUGCAGAGGAUUUUGGAUAGUUUAGUAUGGAAUGGACAAAUAUAGAUAGUAUUCAAAGUUGGACAAAUAUAUAUAUAUAUAUAUAGCUAGGCUGGUAUAAUAUCGGUAGCACAGAGGUAUCUAUACUAUCAAGUUGUUUUCAAUGAUGUAAUUUUCAAAUCGACGAUCGCUUCUGUUAGACUUGAUCUAUAAUAUUGAAAGUAUUUAAAAACUAAAUUUUAUAAUUUUUCGAUAUUAUUUGUCUAUCAAAUGAGUAGUCUAAAAAUGAACGGUUGAAAAUAAAAAUCUCAUAAAAACUAAUGAUAAAAGACUUAAAUUUAAGAUUAGAGGUACUGAUCUUACUCUAUAUAAGAAAAGAAUUUUUUUAUAAAAAUUUCAUUAGAUUUGAAUUGAUUUACACUGUUAAAUUUACAAACGCAUCACAUCGACUUUUAAAAUCGUCAAUUUUGAGACCUUUUGUCACUAGCCAAAUAAUGUCGAAAAAUUAUGAAAUUUAGUUUCCAAAUACUUUUAAUAGUAUAUAUCAACUCUAACAGAGCCGAUCGUUGAUUUGGAAGCCGUAUCAUAUUGAAAACAACUUGGUAGCACAGAGGCCUCCGUACUACCGAUAAUAUA
rnacentral:lncRNA from 1 species